rfam:Angiostrongylus cantonensis strain Taiwan genome assembly, scaffold: ACAC_scaffold0001632
GGUUAGGUUGCCGAGUGGUUAAGGCGAUGGACUUCUAAUCCUUUGGGGUUUUCCCUCGUGUGUUCGAAACUCAUCCUGAUCG